GGCAGACGGUUUCAUUAUCGAUGAUUCAUUGAACCCAGCUUACAAAGACGGGCCAAAUGCACCGAGACGAUGGAUCCUGCCAAAAAUAAAAAUAAAUCAGCAGUUCAGCGCCUCCGCCGUGUCAACUGCUUGUUUUCCAUUUUUCCGUAGCAAAAAGUCCACCAUUUUCCUUUUCUUUUACGGGCCCAUUUUCCUUAUCUGAACGGCACAGCGCGUGAAAUCUUUCCUAGGAGGAAUACUAGAAUACUCAUUAAUGGACUAAAUCGAAUCCGCCGCCCACCACCACCGUCCACCGCCACCGCCACCGCGAGGGAAAGGAAGAAGACGGCUUCCUCCGCCAGCCGUCGUCGUGGGGAGCUGGCGAGGGGGAUACGCGGCGCUAUGCCUGCGCGGACACCCGGACGGAAACGAGGCGCAGAUACAUUUCCCUGCCUUGCCCGGCCGCCGCGCCGGCCGGUCGCCAUCGACGCCGCUUCAAAUCCAUGGCUUUUUUUUUACGCUUUCCUCUCCAGCAAUCCCUGCCUAGUCCUUUCCCACGCCUGACGCCGCCCCCACCCAAACCCCCUUUAAAACCCGCCACCGUCGCCACCGACUCGCCAUCAUCCGACCACGGAGCUUAAGCUUUAGU
rnacentral:lncRNA from 1 species